GCGUCUACUUAUAAGACAUCCAUGGAUACAGGUGUGUGAAAAGGGGGCAGAAAGGAGCCUGAUUGGUUGAUUUACCCGGAUGUAAAGGAAACCAGGAAGCCCCGUGCAGAAGUAAUAGCAAAGACACGCAAACUGUGCCAAUAAAGACUACAAAGGAGGAAAUAAGAUUGUCACUGAAGGCAUCAAAACUAUGACACCUGUGAAGUGAGAACCCUGUCAGGAUUGCAAGAAACAGAAGAUGUUAUCCUCCAGUGCUGACAUAAGUGCAACUGAGUGGCCAGAAGUACGAGCCAUUAGCCGAUAAGGCCUGUGGAUUUUCGGGGCUGCGCCAUCAUUUAUUCCUGCAACUCCCCCCCCCCAACCCCUUUCCGGAUCAGGACCGUCCCCAGUGGGUGUCCUCAUUAUGUUUUAAUACAUCACCUGGAUAUGCCACGAUGUCAAAAUUCAAUAAAGUGCGA